rnacentral:rRNA from 1 species
UACGUAGGGUGCAAGCGUUGUCCGGAAUUAUUGGGCGUAAAGCGCGUGUAGGCGGCUUUGCAAGUCGGGUGUGAAAGCCCUCAGCUCAACUGAGGAAGUGCGCCCGAAACUGCAGAGCUUGAGUGCCGGAGAGGGUGGCGGAAUUCCCCAAGUAGAGGUGAAAUUCGUAGAUAUGGGGAGGAACACCGGUGGCGAAGGCGGCAUCCUGGACCGGCAUUGACGCUGAGUGAGCGAAAGCCAGGGGAGCAAACGGA